UGCCACUGCCACCCACUGGGUGGGCAGGGGCCACAGGGCCACACUGUGUCCCCUGCCUGCCUGGGGGCAGGAAGCACACUGA
rnacentral:pre_miRNA from 1 species